rnacentral:rRNA from 1 species
AUGGAGUUGCACUUGUUGACACCAAAUGAUAAAGUGAUUGAAAGUUUUUCGCUUAUGCGAAAGCAAAUGCUGGAUAUAGAUAAUUUAACAACCACAUGGAGAGCUUAUUCUAUCUACAAUCCUGUUGAGGAUAGCAGCAGGCGAUUUUUGGCAAUCUUUAGAAGUGUUUCAGAAAUACUUAAAGCAGCCAAAGAAUUUGCAAAACAAUCAUCUUUUGAUCAUGAAAAGGCUCGAACCUUUCUUGCGCCAAGAGAUAAUUUUGGUGCUUCACAACUAGCUGAAUUCCAUGCAACUAAGAGUCUAGACGGUCAGAAUAAAGAUGAAGGAGAUAGUGCUAUCGAGAAGCAAAAUUUCAGAUUACAUAGUGAUGAUACAAUGAGGAAAUUGCUCGAUUGGCCUCGACGCCUUCAGUCAGAGAAAAAUAACUAA